GAUGAACGCUGGCGGCGUGCCUAAUACAUGCAAGUCGAGCGAACGGACGAGAAGCUUGCUUCUCUGAUGUUAGCGGCGGACGGGUGAGUAACACGUGGAUAACCUACCUAUAAGACUGGGAUAACUUCGGGAAACCGGAGCUAAUACCGGAUGAUAUUUUGAACCGCAUGGUUCAAAAGUGAAAGACGGUCUUGCUGUCACUUAUAGAUGGAUCCGCGCUGCAUUAGCUAGUUGGUAAGGUAACGGCUUACCAAGGCAACGAUGCGUAGCCGACCUGAGAGAGGGAUCGGCCACACUGGAGCGGAGACGCGGACCAGACUCCUACGGGAGGCAGCAGUAGGGAAUCUGACGCAAUGGGCGGAAGCCUGACGGAGCAACGCCGCGUGAGUGAUGAAGGUCUUCGGAUCGUAAAACUCUGUUAUUAGGGAAGAACAGAUGUGUAAGUAACUGUGGACAUCUUGACGGUACCUAAUCAGAAAGCCACGGCUAACUACGUG
rnacentral:rRNA from 1 species